UGGGCGUUAAGUUGCAGGGUAUAGACCCGAAACCCGGUGAUCUAGCCAUGGGCAGGUUGAAGGUUGGGUAACACUAACUGGAGGACCGAACCGACUAAUGUUGAAAAAUUAGCGGAUGACCUGUGGCUGGGGGUGAAAGGCCAAUCAAACCGGGAGAUAGCUGGUUCUCCCCGAAAGCUAUUUAGGUAGCGCCUCGUGAAUUCAUCUCCGGGGGUAGAGCACUGUUUCGGCUAGGGGGCCAUCCCGGCUUACCAACCCGAUGCAAACUGCGAAUACCGGAGAAUGUUAUCACGGGAGACACACGGCGGGUGCUAACGUCCGUCGUGAAGAGGGAAACAACCCAGACCGCCAGCUAAGGUCCCAAAGUCAUGGUUAAGUGGGAAACGAUGUGGGAAGGCCCAGACAGCCAGGAUGUUGGCUUAGAAGCAGCCAUCAUUUAAAGAAAGCGUAAUAGCUCACUGGUCGAGUCGGCCUGCGCGGAAGAUGUAACGGGGCUAAACCAUGCACCGAAGCUGCGGCAGCGACGCUGAUGCGUUGUUGGGUAGGGGAGCGUUCUGUAAGCCUGUGAAGGUGGCCUGUGAGGGUUGCUGGAGGUAUCAGAAGUGCGAAUGCUGACAUAAGUAACGAUAAAGCGGGUGAAAAGCCCGCUCGCCGGAAGACCAAGGGUUCCUGUCCAACGUUAAUCGGGGCAGGGUGAGUCGACCCCUAAGGCGAGGCCGAAAGGCGUAGUCGAUGGGAAACGGGUUAAUAUUCCCGUACUUGGUGUUACUGCGAAGGGGGGACGGAGAAGGCUAUGUUGGCCGGGCGACGGUUGUCCCGGUUUAAGCGUGUAGGUGUGUGUUCCAGGUAAAUCCGGUUCACUUUAACACUGAGGCGUGAUG
rnacentral:rRNA from 1 species